ensembl:lncRNA
GAGAGAGAGAGAACGACAGAGAGACAAAGAGAAAGAGAGACAGAGACAGAAAAAGAAAGAGACAGAAAGAGAGAGAGACAGAAACAGAAAGAGACAGAAAGAGAGAGAGACAGAAACAGAAAGAGAGAGAGACAGAGAGAGAGACAGAAACAGAAAGAGAGAGCGACAGAGAGAGAGAGACAGAAGAGAGAGAGACAGAAACAGAAAGAGAGAGCGACAGAGAGAGAGAGAGACAGAAACAGAAGAGAGAGCGACAGAGAGAGAGAGAGACAGAAACAGAAAGAGAGAGCGACAGAGAGAGAGAGACAGAAACAGAAAGAGAGAGCGACAGAGAGAGAGAGACAGAAACAGAAAGAGAGAGCGACAGAGAGAGAGACGUGUAAAUGUAAGAGUAUAAAUGGUGUUAUUAAGGUAAUGGAGUGUGAAAGUGAACACGAGAAGUGAAUUACAACACACAUGUUCGUUCUUUCUUUCUUUCUUUCUUUCUUUCAGUGCAGUAAGUGUACUCUGUGUUAUUAAAAGCAGUUUAUUCUGAUUGAUGUGGUGUGUGUCGUUGUACAGAUGUGGUGAUGUGUGAUGUUGGAAAUGUUUUGAUGUCAUUGUACAGAUGGGUGUUUGAUACAGAUGUUUUCAUGUGUGAAGUUUUACAGAUGAUGUGAUGCGUGUCAUAUAGAUGUGGCAAUGUGCAUCAUUGUACAAAUGUGAUGAGGUGUGUGUCAUUGUACAAAUGUGAUGAGGUGUGUGUCAUUGUACAAAUGUG